rnacentral:rRNA from 1 species
AGACCAGUAUGAAUGGCAAGACGAAAGUUCAACUGUCUCCCUAAAUUAAUCAAUGAAAUUGAUUUUUCCGUGCAGAAGCGGAAAUAUAAUUAUAAGACGAGAAGACCCUAUGGAGCUUUAAACAUAUGAUCAAUUGCAUAACAUAAAAUCCAAAAGAUAAAAUAUUUAAUAUAACAAUAUGAUCAAAAUUUUAGGUUGGGGCGACCACGGAGAAAAACAAAACCUCCGAGAUGAAGAGAAUAUCUUAAUUCAAGAACUACAAUUCUAAAAAAUAAAAUAUUUAGCAUAAUUGAUCCAAUACUUUGAUCAACGAACCAAGUUACCCUAGGGAUAACAGCGCAAUCCUCUCCAAGAGUCCCUAUCGACGAGCGGGUUUACGACCUCGAUGUUGGAUCAGGACACCCCAAUGGUGCAGCCGCUAUUAAAGGUUCGUUUGUUCAACGAUUAAAGUCCUACGUGAUC